rnacentral:rRNA from 1 species
AACGAACGUUGGCGGCGUGCUUAACACAUGCAAGUCGAGCGAGAACGGUCUCUUCGGAGACUCAGUAGAGCGGCGCACGGGUGAGUAACACGUGAGUAACGUACCUCAAGGUGGGGAAUAACGUUCCGAAAGGAGCGCUAAUGCCGCAUAUGUCUUUCUGGUCUUUGGGCUAGAAAGGGAAAGCUUUAUGCGCCUUGAGAUCGGCUCGCGGUCUAUUAGGUAGUUGGUAGGGUAAUGGCCUACCAAGCCGAAGAUAGAUAGCUGGUCUGAGAGGAUGAUCAGCCACACUGGAACUGAGACACGGUCCAGACUCCUACGGGAGGCAGCAGUGGGGAAUCUUGCGCAAUGGACGAAAGUCUGACGCAGCAACGCCGCGUGGGUGAAGAAGGUUUUCGGAUCGUAAAGCCCUGUCAGGAGGGAAGAAGUCAAUGACGGUACCUCCAAAGGAAGCACCGGCUAACUCCG